GAUGCCUCUUCCACCAGCAAAAGGGGAUCCAAAAGCAGUGACAUCAACAGAAGGGUAGCCAUGGUGAUGUUCUUUCAGUUCUAGGCAACAGACCUCCAGUUCUGAGAGAUCAAGAGACCAUCAAGCCUGCACUUCAAGUGGGGGCCAGAGAUGCAGGGAGAUCUGCAAUUCCCAAAGCAAGUUCGUGGCAGACCCAAAGCUACAACCCAGGUUUCCUGACUUCAAAGGCAAUGCCAUGUGGUGGUUAAGAGCCCUGGAGUCGGACUGUCUGGGUCCAAAGCUUAGCUCCACCAUCACUACUUGGUGACCCUGGACAAACUGCUGGAGGUCCUGCUUCUUCAUCUGUCCAAUGGGGACAACAACUCCAAUAGCCUCAGCAGGCGCUGUGGCUCACAUCUAUAAUCCUAGCACUCCCGGAGACUGAGGCAGAAGGCCUGCUUGAGUUUAGGAGUUUGAGACCAACCCAGGCAACAUGCAUCAUUGUCUGAACUGCCUUUAUAGGAGGCAAUUAAUCUCAUUCUUAAUUGGAUCAAAUGAGGAACUAUUAUUCUGCAUGCAACAGAACUCAUCAGAAUCUAAAAUCACUUCUGGCCAAAUCUAUGAGGGAGCAGGUCAGAAGUACUUUGGGAAAAGAAUCUGAGAAGCACCAAGGCACAAGCUACUGAGAAGCCAGUUAAAAGGUGGCAAGCAGAUCACGAGGUCAAGAGAUCAAGACCAUCCUGGCCAACAUGGUGAAACCAUGCCUCUACUAAAACUACAAAAGUUAGCUGGGCGUGGUGGGAGUGGCACUGAGGCAGGAGAAUUGCUUGAACCCCAGAGGUGGAGGUUGCAAUGAGCCGAGAUCGUGCUGCUGCACUCCAGCCUGGCGACAGAUCGAGACUCCGUCUCAAAAGAAAAAAAAAAGGUGUCAAGCAGUGGGUUACAGAAGUGGACGAACACUUACUGAGAGCUGGGCAUUAAAGAGCCUCUAACACUUUUAUGCGUAAGUAAAAACAAAUAAGCACAGCUGCCAGUUAUCCUGUUCAAUAGAUGUACAGCGUGUAAAGCUGGGCACAGCCAAGUCCUCCUUCCAGAAAUUAAUUCCCCAUAAAAUGUCAGCUCCACAGAGCAAGGCCCUUCAUCUGGUUCUCCCAAAAAGCCCAGCACCUAGAAUAGUGUCUGGGACACGGAUGGUACAUAUAAUAAAUGCUUGCAGAAAGAAUAACUCAGUUCUGCAGCUCUCGCUACUUAUCCUCAGAGUUUAUUCACUGGUCAACGACCAAUGGCCUGAGAAAAUCCAACCAGGGUCAUUCUUUUCAGGGAUCGAGCUGAGAAUCCCUGCAUUUUUACCUCUGGAAGAGAAGGCAAAGGAAUAAAGGCUGCACUUCUUCCCAUAGUUAAACACAGUGCCUGACUUCCAGGAGGUGCUCAUUAGAUGUCGACUGAAUCCACUACCUUUUUACCUACUUUAGCUGAGACCCCCUUAGAAAGGCAAAAACUUAAAAAAUAAUAAUAAUAAUAACAGGGUCUCUUUCUGUCACCCGAACUGGAGUGCAGUGGAGUGAUCAUAGCUCACUGUAGCUUCGACCUCCUGGGCUCAAGUGAUCCUCCCACCUCAACUUCCUGGGUAGCUGGGACCACAGGCGCAUGCUGCCAUGCACAACUCGUUUUUUAAUUUUAAUAGAGAUGGAGUCUCCCUAUGUUGCCCAGGCUGGUCUCAAACUCCUGAGCUCAAGCAAUCGUCCCACCUUGGCUUCCCGAAGUGCUAGGAUUACAAG